AGUGAACGCUGGCGGUAGGCCUAACACAUGCAAGUCGAACGGCAGCACAGUAAGAGCUUGCUCUUACGGGUGGCGAGUGGCGGACGGGUGAGGAAUACAUCGGAAUCUACUUUUUCGUGGGGGAUAACGUAGGGAAACUUACGCUAAUACCGCAUACGACCUACGGGUGAAAGCAGGGGAUCUUCGGACCUUGCGCGAUUGAAUGAGCCGAUGUCGGAUUAGCUAGUUGGCGGGGUAAAGGCCCACCAAGGCGACGAUCCGUAGCUGGUCUGAGAGGAUGAUCCGCCACACUGGAACUGAGACACGGUCCAGACUCCUACGGGAGGCAGCAGUGGGGAAUAUUGGACAAUGGGCGAAAGCCUGAUACAGCCAUACCGCGUGGGUGAAGAAGGCCUUCGGGUUGUAAAGCCCUUUUGUUGGGAAAGAAAAGCAGCAGGUUAAUACCCCGCUGUUCUGACGGUACCCAAAGAAUAAGCACCGGCUAACUUCGUG
rnacentral:rRNA from 1 species